GGGGAAUUGGGAAUUGGGGAAGAUGAGUUGACAACCCUAAGUUGAUGGUUGUGGAGAAGGAAGGUGGGGGAAUGGGGGAAGAAGGCUUUUGCGUGGUCGGUCUGGUCUGGCGAGAGGGCACUUGGAAAUGGACUGGAGUGAGAUAGUCUUGACUCCAUAGAGAGAGAGAGAGAGAGAGAGAGAGAGAGAGAGAGAUGGUAGAGAGAAGAUUGAGUACGUAAAGUUAGGAAAGGGGAGGGACCGACUCCCGCCUCAUCAAAAUUCUUUUUCUUUUUUCUUCUUUUCCUUCUAAAUUCAUUUUUAUGUUAGUCUUCAUUUUCUUUUUGACCAUUGGGUAAAAAAAAUUCUAUACCAAAUCUACCCGAAUGUAACUUCAUUUAUAUUCUAUGCACAGAUUUUUAUCUAAAUCAUCUACUUACCCUUUUCUUUAUUACAAUUUUGUACAUCCUCAAUUCUUAAUUGCAAAAGCAUCUUAAGGUCU